rnacentral:rRNA from 1 species
AACGAACGCUGGCGGCAUGCCUAACACAUGCAAGUCGAACGAGAUCUUCGGAUCUAGUGGCGCACGGGUGCGUAACGCGUGGGAAUCUGCCCAUGGGUUCGGAAUAACAGUGAGAAAUUACUGCUAAUACCGGAUGAUGUCUUCGGACCAAAGAUUUAUCGCCCAAGGAUGAGCCCGCGUAGGAUUAGGUAGUUGGUGGGGUAAUGGCCUACCAAGCCGACGAUCCUUAGCUGGUCUGAGAGGAUGAUCAGCCACACUGGGACUGAGACACGGCCCAGACUCCUACGGGAGGCAGCAGUGGGGAAUAUUGGACAAUGGGCGAAAGCCUGAUCCAGCAAUGCCGCGUGAGUGAUGAAGGCCUUAGGGUUGUAAAGCUCUUUUACCAGGGAUGAUAAUGACAGUACCUGGAGAAUAAGCUCCGGCUAACUCCGUGCCAGCCGCCGCAGUAAAAC